rnacentral:rRNA from 1 species
UUCUGGUUGAUCCUGCCGGACCUGACUGCUAUCGGAUUGAUACUAAGCCAUGCGAGUCAUUGUAGUAAUACAAGGCAUACGGCUCAGUAACGCGUAGUCAACCUAACCUAUGGACGGGAAUAACCUCGGGAAACUGAGUAUAAUUCCCGAUAGAACAUUAUGCCUGGAAUGGUUUAUGUUCCAAAUGAUUUAUCGCCGUAGGAUGGGACUGCGGCCUAUCAGUUUGUUGGUGAGGUAAUGGCCCACCAAGACUAUUACAGGUACGGGCUCUGAGAGGAGUAGCCCGGAGAUGGGUACUGAGACACGGACCCAGGCCCUAUGGGGCGCAGCAGGCGAGAAAACUUUGCAAUGUGCGAAAGCACGACAAGGUUAAUCCGAGUGGUUUCUGCUAAAGGAACCUUUUGUUAGUCCUAGAAACACUAACGAAUAAGGGGUGGGCAAGUUCUGGUGUCAGCCGCCGCGGUAAAACCAGCACCUCAAGUGGUCAGGAUGAUUAUUGGGCCUAAAGCAUCCGUAGCCGGCUCUGUAAGUUUUCGGUUAAAUCUGUACGCUCAACGUACAGGCUGCCGGGAAUACUGCAGAGCUAGGGAGUGGGAGAGGUAGACGGUACUCGGGAGGAAGGGGUAAAAUCCUUUGAUCUCUCGAUGACCACCUGUGGCGAAGGCGGUCUACCAGAACACGUCCGACGGUGAGGGAUGAAAGCUGGGGGAGCAAACCGGAUUAGAUACCCGGGUAGUCCCAGCUGUAAACUAUGCAAACUCAGUGAUGCAUUGACUUGUGGUCAAUGCAGUGCUGCAGGGAAGCCGUUAAGUUUGCCGCCUGGGAAGUACGUACGCAAGUAUGAAACUUAAAGGAAUUGGCGGGGGAGCACCACAAGGGGUGAAGCCUGCGGUUCAAU